rnacentral:lncRNA from 1 species
GUCAGUCCAAUUAUACCAAUUAACUAGAACUCUUUUGAAUUAAUUUUUAAAUUAAUUUUUUUUAAUUCUUGUGAGUCUAUAAGUCAAGAUUGACGUCUAGCAAUGUGUCAUGACUAUCCGAAAGAGAUGAAAUUUGGUAAAAAUAUCAAAAAUACUCUUCAGUGAUAAGUUACCGUGUAAUUCAAUUUUUUAGUCAAACAACACCCC